UACGAGAGGCCCAAACAUUAUUCGGAAUUACUGGGCUUAAAGAGUUCGUAGGCGGCAUGGAAAGUAGGGUGUGAAAUCCCUCGGCUCAACCGAGGAAUUGCGCUCUAAACUGCCGUGCUAGAGGAAGCUAGAGGUGAGCGGAACUGAUGGUGGGAGCGGUGAAAUGCGUUGAUAUCAUCAGGAACACCGGAGGCGAAGGCGGCUCACUGGGCUUUCUGACGCUGAGGAACGAAAGCCAGGGUAGCGAACGGG
rnacentral:rRNA from 1 species